rnacentral:rRNA from 1 species
UACGGAGGGGGCUAGCGUUGUUCGGAAUUACUGGGCGUAAAGCGCGCGUAGGCGGCUUUGUAAGUUAGAGGUGAAAGCCCGGAGCUCAACUCCGGAAUUGCCUUUAAGACUGCAUCGCUAGAAUCAUGGAGAGGUGAGUGGAAUUCCGAUGUGUAGUAGGUGGAAAUUCGUAGAUAUUACGGAAGAACACCAGUGGCGAAGGCGACUCACUG